GUGUGCGUGUGAGUGUGCAGGGGCGGGCGCGGGCGGGCGGGGGGCGGGCUCCCGGGCUCCCCUCCUCCCCAGCCCGCUCGUCUCGCUCGCUCGCCAACUCCGGGCCCCAGCCGCGGGCGGGCGGACGGCGGGCGGACAGCAUGCUGAGCCUCCUCGUUUGGAUCCUCACUCUCUCCGAUACUUUCUCCCAAGCCCUCAUGUGUCAGCAACGUGGAUACAAACGAGCUUCAAGGAACAAAAGCUGCAGUUAGCAAACAGGAGAGGCAUGUGGAUUGAAUUGGGACAGAAACGGUCCGAGAGAAGUGUGUUGUGUGCCUUUCUCCCUUUGGAAAGGGGGGGAGGGGUUAGGGGUUAGCUGAGCUCCCAUCGCCCAUCCUCCAGCGUGGGUGAAAGCAAGACCUGAUGAAAGUGUGCAAAAGUAUUUGGGAUGGGGGGAGGGGUUACCAAAGGGAAAUAAAAGGGAGAGGAUAGAACGGAGGGGAGAGGAAGUCACUCCUGAGUGUUCCUGGGAAGCUGAGCAAGGACUGGGGAGGAGGCAGGGCGGGAAGGAGUGGGGAUCUGGGGCUCUUCAGGGUGGGGGAAGGCGGCAGGACCUCUCUCCUCAGCCCCCAUCCUUAGAAAGAAAGAGUUGUAGGCAGGGACUGGGCCAGUGGUAGGGGAAACCAAGGGGGGGAUUGCCAGGGGCUUGAGGGAGGGUGGAGAGAAGGUGGGAGGAGAAGGCAGUUGAAUUGAGGGGAGUGGAGAGGAGAGGGGAAGGGGACGUUCAGCCUAGGCAGAGAAAUAAAAAUCACGUUUUAAAGAAUUUCAAUGGGCUUCAUCAAUCUUCAUUUUUCACUAAAUAAUUUUCUGUAUCUUAUCUAAAUGAAAACCAUUAUCCUUCCCCCUGUUUCCAGCAUGCGCUGGCUCCUCAGACUGAUUGCACCGAAAAUUGAAAUAUUUAUUCAUUUUCUGGGAGAUUUUCUCACUCCCCAGUCUCAGGGAGGAGAAAUUGAAAAAGAAAGAUUAUAGCUAAUCAGAGCAAUGUGGGAUGACUGGCUGGCCCAGGGUGGGAGCUGCCCAAGGGAGGGUGGAGGUGAAGGUAGGGGGAAAAUCUGUCCCCCCAGCCCCCAGAGUCCCCUGGGCAUCCCUGCCACCGCUUGGCAGGGCGGUGAGGAGUGAAGGGAAGAGGGCCUCCUAAAUUCCCAGUAUUCAGCUGCCGAGUACAGCUACAUGCUGCCGAGUACAGCUACAUCCUGCCAGAGAACAAGAGUCUG